GCUCCUUUAGCUCAGUGGUAGAGCGGAAGAUUGCAGUGACAUGUCAAUCAUCUUCAGGUCAGGUUAGUACUUCAAACUCGCUGAAAAUAUUCGGGCAUCAAAACUAACACGCAAUUUGAGUCGUUCGAACCGGCUAGGGAGCU